UACGUAGGGGGCUAGCGUUGUCCGGAAUCAUUGGGCGUAAAGCGCGUGUAGGCGGCCCGGUAAGUCCGCUGUGAAAGUCGGGGGCUCAACCCUCGAAAGCCGGUGGAUACUGUCGGGCUAGAGUACGGAAGAGGCGAGUGGAAUUCCUGGCGUAGCGGUGAAAUGCGCAGAUAUCAGGAGGAACACCCAUUGCGAAGGCAGCUCGCUGGGACGUUACUGACGCUGAGACGCGAAAGCGUGGGGAGCAAACAGG
rnacentral:rRNA from 1 species